GGGCGAGUACCCAAGUGGACAACGGGGGCAGACUGUAAAUCUGCUGGCUUAGCCUUCGGGGGUUCGAAUCCCUCCUCGCCCA
rnacentral:tRNA from 1 species